rnacentral:tRNA from 1 species
GCAGACGUAGCUCAGUCGGUUAGAGCGCCACGUAGAGUGGAUGCCGUUGGUUCGAGCCCAACCGUCUGCA